UCAAGUCGAAGGUAGCAAUGUCGGCAGCAUACCAACCACCACUCCCGCCCCUCCUCUUCCUCACCGUAUAUUAAAUCGAAAUCAGGAUACUCAUUUACUGUCUUCCAUGAAUUCGUGUGUCAGCUAUAAAGUUUACCCAUCCACAUAUUAUCAUUAGACAAAACAAUAAACACCUUGUGUGCACCACUCGACGACAUUUGAGAUUUACUGUCUUUCAAAACAUCAAACCUCCGACGCUAAACUAUUCUAACACAACUAGGAAAUCAAAACUAAAUAGGAAAAAAAAAAGAAAAAGAAAAAAAAGAGAGAUAUGCAUCAGAUACGCUUGGGAUUCAAAGGGUGAAACAAACCCUAAACUAUUCUAACACAUUAAGAAACUAAAACUAAAUAGGAAAAAAAGAAAAGAGAGAUAUGGAUCAGAUUCGGAUUUAAAGGUUGAAACAAACCUAAACUAUUCUAGCACAAUUAAGAAACCAAAAGUAAAUAGGAAAAAAAAGAAAAGAGAGAUAUGCAUCAGAUACGCCCCAAAAGUAAAUAAGAAACCAAAAGUAAAUAGGAAAAGAAAAGAAAAGAGAG
rnacentral:lncRNA from 1 species